rnacentral:rRNA from 1 species
UACGGAGGGUGCAAGCGUUGUCCGGAUUUAUUGGGUUUAAAGGGUGCGUAGGCGGUCUUUUAAGUCAGUGGUGAAAGCCUCCAGCUUAACUGGAGAAAUGCCAUUGAUACUGGAAGACUUGAGUACAGACGAGGUAGGCGGAAUUGACAGUGUAGCGGUGGAAUGCAUAGAUAUUGUCAAGAACACCGAUUGCGAAGGCAGCUUACUAGACUGUAACUGACGCUGAGGCACGAAAGUGUGGGGAUCAAACAGG